GACGAACGCUGGCGGCGUGCUUAAGACAUGCAAGUCGAACGAUGAAGCCUCUUCGGGGGUGGAUUAGUGGCGAACUGGUGAGUAACACGUGAGUAACCUGCCCUUUACUUCCGUAUAAGCCUUGGAAACGGGGUCUAAUACUUGUAAUGACCGAAGCUCGCAUGGGUGUGGGGGGAAAUAUUUUUUGGUGGGGGAUGGGCUCGCGGCCUAUCAGCUUGUUGGUGGGGGAGUGGCUUACCAAGGCGACGACGGGUAGCCGGGAUGAGAGGGUGAGCGGCCACACUGGGACUGAGACACGGCCCAGGCUCCUACGGGAGGCAGCAGUGGGGAAUAUUGCACAAUGGGCGCAAGCCUGAUCCAGCCAUGCCGCGUGAGUGAUGAAGGCCUUCGGGUUGUAAAGCUCUUUUAUCCGGGAAGAUAAUGACUGUACCGGAAGAAUAAGCCCCGGCAAACUUCGUGCCAGCAGCCGCAGUAA
rnacentral:rRNA from 1 species